rnacentral:rRNA from 1 species
CCUACGGGGGGCUGCAGUGAGGAAUAUUGGUCAAUGGACGAGAGUCUGAACCAGUCAAGUAGCGUGAAGGAUGACUGCCCUAUGGGUUGUAAACUUCUUUUAUAUGGGAAUAAAAUGUUCCACGUGUGGGAUUUUGUAUGUACCAUAUGAAUAAGGAUCGGCUAACUCCGUGCCAGCAGCCGCGGUAAUACGGAGGAUCCGAGCGUUAUCCGGAUUUAUUGGGUUUAAAGGGAGCGUAGGUGGAUUGUUAAGUCAGUUGUGAAAGUUUGCGGCUCAACCGUAAAAUUGCAGUUGAAACUGGCAGUCUUGAGUACAGUAGAGGUGGGCGGAAUUCGUGGUGUAGCGGUGAAAUGCUUAGAUAUCACGAAGAACUCCGAUUGCGAAGGCAGUUCACUGGACUGCAACUGACACUGAGGCUCGAAAGUGUGGGUAUCAAACAGGAUUAGAUACCCGAGUAGUC